CUGGUGUCAGCCGCCGCGGUAAUACCAGCACCUCGAGUGGUCAGGACGUUUAUUGGGCCUAAAGCAUCCGUAGCCGGCUCUGCAAGUCUUCGGUUAAAUCCACCUGCUCAACAGAUGGGCUGCUGGAGAUACUACAGAGCUAGGGAGUGGGAGAGGCAGACGGUAUUCAGUGGGUAGGGGUAAAAUCCUCUGAUCCAUUGAGGACCACCAGUGGCGAAGGCGGUCUGCCAGAACACGUUCGACGGUGAGGGAUGAAAGCUGGGGGAGCAAACCGGAUUAGAUACCCGGGUAGUCCCAGCUGUAAACGAUGCAAACUCGGUGAUGCAUUGGCUUAUGGACAAUGCACUGCCGCAGGGAAGCCGUUAAGUUUGCCGCCUGGGAAGUACGGACGCACGUCUGAAAAAUAAAGGAAUUGGCGGGGGAGCAACACAAAGGGUGAAGCCUGCGGUUCAAUUGGAUGAAGCCUCCGGAAUAUUUCCCGGGGAGACAACAAAUCGAAGGCGAAGCAGACAUACUUAACGAAACAAGAU
rnacentral:rRNA from 2 species